rnacentral:rRNA from 1 species
UGGGGAAUUUUGGACAAUGGGCGCAAGCCUGAUCCAGCCAUUCCGCGUGCAGGAUGAAGGCCCUCGGGUUGUAAACUGCUUUUGUACGGAACGAAAAGGCUUUCUCUAAUACAGAGAGCUCAUGACGGUACCGUAAGAAUAAGCACCGGCUAACUACGUGCCAGCAGCCGCGGUAAUACGUAGGGUGCAAGCGUUAAUCGGAAUUACUGGGCGUAAAGCGUGCGCAGGGCGGUGAUGUAAGACAGGUGUGAAAUCCCCGGGCUUAACCUGGGAACUGCAUUUGUGACUGCAUCGCUGGAGUGCGGCAGAGGGGGAUGGAAUUCCGCGUGUAGCAGUGAAAUGCGUAGAUAUGCGGAGGAACACCGAUGGCGAAGGCAAUCCCCUGGGCCUGCACUGACGCUCAUGCACGAAAGCGUGGGGAGCAAACAGGAUUAGAUACCCUGGUAGUCCACGCCCUAAACGAUGUCAACUGGUUGUUGGUCCUUCACUGGAUCAGUAAC